rnacentral:tRNA from 3 species
GCAGUCAUGGCGUAAUGGUAUCGCAGCGGAUUGCUAAUCCGUCCGUCAAAAUGAUGUGUAGGUUCGAUUCCUACUGACUGCG